GAACAAGAAUAAUGAAUUCAAUGUUUCAAUACAUAAAUGGAGUUCAUUGUUUCAAAUACAUAUUAUUGUGGUGAUUUUAAAUAGUAUACUAAAUGUAAAAUUGCUACUCGCCAUAGGAAAAAUUGGCAUUAUUUUGAUAUAUGAGUUUGCUACCCCUCAUGCCUGUUUAAUGGCAAUUAAUUAGAUUAAUGCAAGAGUACAUUCACUUAGUUAUCACCAUAUAGCCACUUCUCAGAGUUGCUGGUGUAAUUAACCAACUCCUCUGGUUUAAACCAUAGGUUGAUCUCAUCCUUUGCGGUCUCGGGGCCAUCGCUGCCAUGGAUGAUGUUCCUUCCUACUACAACAGCUAAAUCGCCUCUGAUGGUUCCAGGUUCAGAUUUCUGUGGAUCGGUGGCUCCGAUAAGCUUCCUUCCAUAUCUGAUUACACCUUCACCUUCCCAAACCAUUGCUAAGACAGGGCCAGAGCUAAGGAAGUCGCACAAGCCGUUAAAGAAUGGUCGCUCACUCAAGUCAUGAUAGUGCUUCUUUGCAAAUUCCUUGGAAGGAAUCACAACUUUGAUUGCAACCAGCUUGAAGCCCUUGCGCUCAAACCGUGAUACGAUUUCUGAAAUCAGGCCUCUCUGUACUCCAUCUGGCUUGAUGGCAAUAAAGGUGCGCUCCAUCUCGGCAGCAUGUGCUUCUUGCUCCUGGAGCAUGUAAGCUGCUGCAGGAAGGGCAAGCACACCAGAAAUCCAAGCUCUAGAUGCAUUUCCAGAUUCAUUCCUGCCAUAUGAGGCUAGAGAAGGCACCACUCCUCUCAAUGAAACUGUGGCUGCUGCAGCUGCUGCUCGUCCUCCUGAAAAAGCACGAGAAGUCUGCUUAGAUGAAGCAGAAAGGAGUGACUUAGCUGCUCUUGUAGCAGAUCUGCAAAUCUGAGAAUUCAUCUCUGAGCUUUUUAGAGAGAGAGUCAAAAAAAUUGUGAAG
rnacentral:misc_RNA from 1 species